rnacentral:lncRNA from 1 species
GUGGUUGGAGGAGCCGACCGACCCAAAGUCGAUAGCCAACUGAGUGGUGUCGGGCCCCUCCAUUGGUCGGCGAGCAUCAUGUGAGUCGGCCAUCAGUCCACUGGGUUCAGUCGGUCGGGAUGGAUACGCCCGACAUAUCCCCAGUCGGCGAUGGAUUGUUGAAUGGCCGGUGAUGGCAUCCGUCAGUUGGUCGCCCCGACUGACGAUCGGUCGGGUUCUCGCCCAGUCGGAGUCGGUCGAUCCGUCAGUCGGUCGGGCCGUCGGUCGGUCGGUCCGCCAGUCGGUCGGUCGGUGGGUAUCCCCCAAC